rnacentral:lncRNA from 1 species
AUUUUGAAAAGCUCUUACUAGUUAUCAUUUACAAGAAGUUCACAGGUUCCAGAAAACACUGGACAGCAUUCGGGGAAAGAGAAGGGACCUAGAUGGAGAAACCUGAUCAGUGUGGCCAGAGCAUCCUGGGGGAAGUGCACUGAGAGAUGACGGGGCAAAUGCACGUGGGUGGAGGGAAGACGAGCAACGCAGAUGGCAAGGACACUGUCCAGACAACCUCCCAACUCAGGAGAAGGGACUGAAUCUAAGAGGAGAAGAGGAGGUAUGAGGCUGGGUGCUGAGGGAUGCCCCAAAGCCUAUGAAGUCUAUGAAAAUCAGACACCUGUAGACUUGAUUUUGGUGUCCUGAUAGAAAAAGGAAAACAAUGCUACCCAUAAUUUUUAAAGGCUUUGCUAUUUUGGAAAAUAAACUUCUCAUUUUAGGCUAGAUUUAGUUCCUCCCCUCUGAAACAUGUUUUCUACAUGGUUUCUACUUAAUUCAGAUUUUCUAGUUUUGUAACAACUUAAACUGGUUGAUCUAGCUUGCAGGCAGGCAGGCAGGAAGGAAGGAGGGAAAGAAUGAAAGAGAAACAGUAAAAUAAAAAAAGGGAAGAAGGAAGAAGACUACAAAAGUCUCAACAUGAAAUGUUUCUGCCAUGUAAGCAAAGAAUUCCUGCUUUUUUACCAGGGACUCCAAAGUUGUCUGCACUCCUUCGGAGCCACAAGGACACUGGUCUUGAAAUUUCAGUGAACUGUGAAACAAAGCACUGAUCUGCUCCUGUUCCACCGUGAUGCCUCCAGUCUCUGGGCCUCAAGGGAAGAUAGUAUUUGUUCAUUCUACAGACACUUAUUUAGGACGUACUACUUGUCAGGUGCUCCAGGAGUAUGUGUCCAGACACCAAGGUGGGCAGCAGACUUCGGAAGCUGAAUCCUUUGGUACCUGGAGCGGGAUGGCAAUGGAGCCACACAAAGAAUGGCCCAGAGCACUGGGGAGGCUGCCUUCCCAGCAAAAGGAAAUUCAGGCCAUGAAGCCAGACAGAGAAGGACAUGGAUGACAAUUGGAUAAUGAGUGUUGGCAUCAAAAAGCAUUGAAAAUAAGUCAGUAGAUAAUUAAACUUGGAAUGUCAGAAAAUCUUACAGCUUAUGUAUAAUCAAAUGAAACUAAACUUGAUAGAGUGUUCCCCAGAUUUGACAAUAAUUUUAAAAAUUUAUGACACUGCCUAUAAUGGGUUUUGAAACUCAAAGUUUUCUAAAUCAAUAACAACUGUAAUUAUUGAGUAAUUAAUCUCUCAUGAUAGUGGAAAGAAUAAAUUUUUUCCCUUCUUGCUAAAAGAGUGAUAUUAUAAAACCUGUUAUAUGUAGCAAAAAAUUUGGUAAAAAUUAUUAUAAGGUUUAUAUAGGUUUAU